rnacentral:rRNA from 1 species
UGGGGAAUAUUGGACAAUGGGGGCAACCCUGAUCCAGCCAUGCCGCGUGAGUGAUGAAGGCCCUAGGGUUGUAAAGCUCUUUUGUGCGGGAAGAUAAUGACGGUACCGCAAGAAUAAGCCCCGGCUAACUUCGUGCCAGCAGCCGCGGUAAUACGAAGGGGGCUAGCGUUGCUCGGAAUCACUGGGCGUAAAGGGUGCGUAGGCGGGUUUCUAAGUCAGAGGUGAAAGCCUGGAGCUCAACUCCAGAACUGCCUUUGAUACUGGAAGUCUUGAGUAUGGCAGAGGUGAGUGGAACUGCGAGUGUAGAGGUGAAAUUCGUAGAUAUUCGCAAGAACACCAGUGGCGAAGGCGGCUCACUGGGCCAUUACUGACGCUGAGGCACGAAACGCGUGGGAGCAAACAGGAUUAGAUACCCUGGUAGUCCACGCCGUAAACGAUGAAUGCCAGCCGUUAGUGGGUUUACUCACUAGUGGCGCAGCUAACGCUUUAAGCAUUCCGCCUGGGGAGUACGGUCGCAAGAUUAAAAGCUC